ensembl:lncRNA
AUCUCCCCACAGAGAAAGUCAACACAGUUUGGCCUUUACUGAAGAUGACAAAGCCCAUACAUUUGGGCUCUUGAGCAAUUGAAUGAUUUUCAUGAAUGUAAAGGACGUCCAUAGACCAACAUUUUACACAUCAACCAAUGUGCUCUUUGGUCCAAUAUUGAUAGGAAGCCAAUAAGGUGGAAUGCAACAGGAAAGGGUGACGAUGAGCGGUUUCCUGUGGAAAACAUUUUCUAUGUGAUAUUCUUCAAAGUUGUCAUCCUUUGCCUUGGUGACAGCUUUGCACACGAUUGGCAUUCCCUCAAACAGCUUCACCUGGAAUGCUUUUCCAAAAGUCUUGAAGGAGUUCCCACAUAUGCUGAGCACUUGUUAGCUGCAUUUCCUUUAAUCUGAGGUCCA